CUCUCUGUUUUGUGUCCUUGUCUCUUUCUGCAGGUGGUGAGGGCCAUUAACACUUUCCUGCUGUACAGGGUCAUCCUCCUGGGAGACCUGGACCCCAUCAUGGCUGGAUUUGCAGCCCUGGGCUUCCCCAACUGCGGCGGAAGGGGAGCUAUUGAUGGAACCCACAUCCCCAUUCAUGCCCCCAACCACCGUGCUGCCUAGUAUAUAAACUGAAACCAUAUUUUUCUAUGGUCCUGCAGGCCCUGGUCGACCACUGUGGACAGUUUUCAGACAUUUUCAUCGGAUGGUUGGGGAGGGCGCACAAUGCCCGCGUGUUCCACAACUCUAGUCUCUACCAGAAGCUGGAGAAUAUCUGAGCCUAUGCCAAGCUGAGAGGGAUGAGCUAUUUUUCUGACAACUAGGGGAUUGUUCCUGGAGGCUUUUGGGGAAGAAUAUAUUUGCAAAUUCUCAAAGCUAGUCUUGGUGAUUUCUGGUGCAAAUGGAAAGGUGCAAGAGUUAUGUAUCCCUGGAGAAAGGAAUCAUCUGUCAGUCAUCAAUACAAUUAUUUUUAAAUAAUUUCUCACACAUUUGACUGCAGCCUGCUGAGCUCAGUAAGGCCAUGUGUGGCAGGCCACCCAUGCACAAGAAGAUGAAGGAUUGGGCAUCUACAUACACAGAAAAGAAGACACAGAUGAAUAAAAUGAUGGCAAAAGUGGUUUAAAAUGCACUGAAAAGAGCUGCUUCUUCCCCCAAUCAUUUUAGCUGUCUUGCUGUAUUUUUUUUUAUUUAAAUAUUUUACUUUAGUUUCUGUCUUUAGUUUGUUUUUCGUUUUCCUAGUGCUUUCAUGAUCAGGUGCUGAGCAAUAGGGAGCAUUUGGAGAUUAUUUGUGGACUGCUAGCCUAGAGGGGUGAGUUUUAACAAGGCAUCUGUUAUGUUUCUCCAGUGUGUUCACAGCAGGAGGACUCUGUGUGCUUGCAUACUGAAGGGUGGAGUAAAUCAGCACUGUGUAUUAAAUACCCAUAGGCAGCUAUGUGGGUGGGGCAUUUAUACUAGCUCAUCUAAAGAUAAAAGUGUUUUUCUUUCUUCUCUAAUACUUGUUUUUUCUUUACUAAAUUGUUCAGAAAUCCUUCUGUUCAAAUGUCCUGUCUCUUUGUGUUAUGUGAGGCAUCCCAAGUGGUUGCAUUACAUAAUUAUUUAUGUGAUGUAACAAGAGAGGAUGCUUUUCAGUAUGAUACAUUAGCUGUGGAAAUGUGAAGGGAAGUUUUCUAAAUCAAAGAAAAAAACGCAUGUUCAUAGAAAUCUAAAAAUAAAAAUGCUUUUAACCUUCUUUUCUAGCCUUUCCUACUCCCAGUGUGCAAAGAUUUCUCUAAUCUGAAAGAAAAUUAUCUAUUUGCAGGACUUUUUUUGUAAAUAAUAAAUAUAAGCAUGGUGAGUUG